CUCCAGACUCCUACGGGAGGCAGCAGUGGGGAAUAUUGGGCAAUGGGCGCAAGCCCGACCCAGCAACGCCGCGUGAAGGAAGAAGGCUUUCGGGUUGUAAACUUCUUUUGACAGGGAAGAGCAGAAGACGGUACCUGUCGAAUAAGCCACGGCUAACUACGUGCCAGCAGCCGCGGUAAUACGUAGGGGGCAAGCGUUAUCCGGAUUUACUGGGUGUAAAGGGGGCGCAGACGGCAGCGCAAGCCAGGAGUGAAAGCCCGGGGCCCAACCCCGGGACUGCUCUUGGAACUGCGCGGCUGGAGUGCAGGAGGGGCAGGCGGAAUUCCUGGUGUAGCGGUGAAAUGCGUAGAUAUCAGGAGGAACACCGGCGGCGAAGGCGGCCUGCUGGACCGCGACUGACGUUGAGGCUCGAAAGCGUGGGGAGCGAACAGGAUUAGAUACCCCAGUAAA
rnacentral:rRNA from 1 species